rnacentral:rRNA from 1 species
AACGAACGCUGGCGGCAUGCCUAACACAUGCAAGUCGAACGAGACCUUCGGGUCUAGUGGCGUACGGGUGCGUAACGCGUGGGAACCUGCCCUUAGGUUCGGAUUAACUCCCCGAAAGGGGUGCUAAUACCGGAUAAUGUCUUCGGACCAAAGAUUUAUCGCCUUUGGAUGGGCCCGCGUUGGAUUAGCUAGUUGGUAGGGUAAAAGCCUACCAAGGCGACGAUCCAUAGCUGGUCUGAGAGGAUGAUCAGCCACACUGGGACUGAGACACGGCCCAGACUCCUACGGGAGGCAGCAGUGGGGAAUAUUGGACAAUGGGCGAAAGCCUGAUCCAGCAAUGCCGCGUGAGUGAUGAAGGCCUUAGGGUUGUAAAGCUCUUUUACCCGGGAUGAUAAUGACAGUACCGGGAGAAUAAGCUCCGGCUAACUCCGUG